rnacentral:rRNA from 1 species
CACGUAGGGCGCAAGCGUUGUCCGGAAUUAUUGGGCGUAAAGGGCGCGUAGGUGGCCCCUCAAGCGUGCGGUGAAAGUCAGGGGCUCAACCCCUGAUCGGCCGUGCGAACUGGGGAGCUUGAGCACUGUAGAGGCAGGCGGAAUUCCGGGUGUAGCGGUGGAAUGCGUAGAGAUCCGGAAGAACACCGGUGGCGAAGGCGGCCUGCUGGGCAGUUUUGCUGACACUGAGGCGCGACAGCGUGGGGAGCAAACAGG